UACGUAGGGUCCGAGCGUUGUCCGGAAUUACUGGGCGUAAAGAGCUCGUAGGUGGUUUGUCGCGUUGUUCGUGAAAACUCACAGCUCAACUGUGGGCGUGCGGGCGAUACGGGGCAGACUGGAGUACUGCAGGGGAGACUGGAAUUCCUGGUGUAGCGGUGGAAUGCGCAGAUAUCAGGAGGAACACCGGUGGCGAAGGCGGGGUCUCUGGGCAGUAACUGACGCUGGAGGAGCGAAAAGCGUGGGGAGCGAACAGGAUUAGA
rnacentral:rRNA from 1 species